rnacentral:rRNA from 1 species
CCCCGGUAAACGGCGGCCGUAACUAUAACGGUCCUAAGGUAGCGAAAUUCCUUGUCGGGUAAGUUCCGACCUGCACGAAUGGCGUAAUGAUGGCCAGGCUGUCUCCACCCGAGACUCAGUGAAAUUGAACUCGCUGUGAAGAUGCAGUGUACCCGCGGCAAGACGGAAAGACCCCGUGAACCUUUACUAUAGCUUGACACUGAACAUUGAGCCUUGAUGUGUAGGAUAGGUGGGAGGCUUUGAAGUGUGGACGCCAGUCUGCAUGGAGCCGACCUUGAAAUACCACCCUUUAAUGUUUGAUGUUCUAACGUGGACCCGUAAUCCGGGUUGCGGACAGUGUCUGGUGGGUAGUUUGACUGGGGCGGUCUCCUCCUAAAGAGUAACGGAGGAGCACGAAGGUUGGCUAAUCCUGGUCGGACAUCAGGAGGUUAGUGCAAUGGCAUAAGCCAGCUUGACUGCGAGCGUGACGGCGCGAGCAGGUGCGAAAGCAGGUCAUAGUGAUCCGGUGGUUCUGAAUGGAAGGGCCAUCGCUCAACGGAUAAAAGGUACUCCGGGGAUAACAGGCUGAUACCGCCCAAGAGUUCAUAUCGACGGCGGUGUUUGGCACCUCGAUGUCGGCUCAUCACAUCCUGGGGCUGAAGUAGGUCCCAAGGGUAUGGCUGUUCGCCAUUUAAAGUGG